AACGAACGCUGGCGGCAUGCCUAACACAUGCAAGUCGAACGAAGCCUUCGGGCUUAGUGGCGCACGGGUGCGUAACGCGUGGGAAUUUGCCCUUGGGUUCGGAAUAACAGUUAGAAAUGACUGCUAAUACCGAAUGAUGUCUUCGGACCAAAGAUUUAUCGCCCAAGGAUGAGCCCGCGUCGGAUUAGCUGGUUGGUGAGGUAAAGGCUCACCAAGGCGACGAUCCGUAGCUGGUCUGAGAGGAUGAUCAGCCACACUGGGACUGAGACACGGCCCAGACUCCUACGGGAGGCAGCAGUGGGAAUAUUGGACAAUGGCGAAAGCCUGAUCCAGCAAUGCCGCGUGAGUGAUGAAGGCCUUAGGGUUGUAAAGCUCUUUUACCCGGGAUGAUAAUGACAGUACCGGGAGAAUAAGCCCCGGCUAACUCCGUGCCAGCAGCCGCGG
rnacentral:rRNA from 1 species